rnacentral:rRNA from 1 species
CUUACCUACUCUUGACAUCCAGAGAACUUUCCAGAGAUGGAUUGGUGCCUUCGGGAACUCUGAGACAGGUGCUGCAUGGCUGUCGUCAGCUCGUGUUGUGAAAUGUUGGGUUAAGUCCCGCAACGAGCGCAACCCUUAUCCUUUGUUGCCAGCGGUCCGGCCGGGAACUCAAAGGAGACUGCCAGUGAUAAACUGGAGGAAGGUGGGGAUGACGUCAAGUCAUCAUGGCCCUUACGAGUAGGGCUACACACGUGCUACAAUGGCGCAUACUUAAGAGAAGCGACCUCGCGAGAGCAAGCGGACCUCAUAAAGCGCCUCUAUCCGGAUUGGAGUCUGCAACUCGACUCCAUGAAGUCGGAAUCGCUAGUAAUCGUAGAUCAGAAU